AUGGAUAUUAUGGUUAGGAACCAAGACCUCCUCGUACUGUCAGUCUUCUUGCUUUGGAGCUCAGGUCUAACUGAUGGGAGUGAUGUCACCCAGACCCCCAUACUGUGGAAAUAUAAGGGUGAUAAUGCAAUCAUAGACUGCAGACACACCAAAGGUGCUAGCUACUACCAGAUGUACUGGUACAGACAGCUGCCAGGAGAAACUAUGAAACUGAUCGUGUACACAACAACAACUAACAAAGAUCACGACUUUGGAGAAUUCAGUGGAGGGAAGUUCUCAGCCACCAAGACCGAGGCUCAGGAGGGGACGUUCACGGUGAAUGAUCUGGUCCCAGGAGAUCAAGGCUUGUAUUUCUGUGCCGUCAGUGAGCACAGUGAUACAGACGCAUGUGAGAGCUGAACAAAAACCCCAAUGAACUGGUGGUGACGUUAUCUCCUGUACUACACAAUGACAGAUCAUCAAAGAGCAAUGUGACGCUGUUAAACUUCUCACUUAUGUUGGAAUUGCUGAAUAUUCUGAAGACCAAGUUCAGAGGAGUCACUUAGGUUAACAAUUCAGUAUCAGUAAAUAAACUAUAACUACAGCCGGAAAUUUUGACGUAUAGAUUUUUAUUCUGCAAUGUGGAGUCAUGCCUCUGAGCCAGUAUGUCCCUAGGUACGUUUUAGCCCUGUCUCACCUCUUCAGAAACAGGACGUACAGAAUAGGAGUCUGGUAACAUACGAUUUAUAUGUCGUUGC